rnacentral:rRNA from 1 species
GAUGAACGCUGGCGGCGUGCCUAAUACAUGCAAGUCGAACGCUGGAACUCUAGCUUGCUAGAUUGAAGGAGUGGCGAACGGGUGAGUAAUACAUAAGCAACCUACCCACGAAGACUGGGAUAAUCUCUGGAAACGGGGACUAAUACCGGAUAGGUAAUCGGAAGGCAUCUUCUGAUUAUUAAAGGUUAAAAACACUGGUGGAUGGGCUUAUGGCGCAUUAGUUAGUUGGUGAGGUAACGGCCCACCAAGACGAUGAUGCGUAGCCGGCCUGAGAGGGUGAACGGCCACAUGGGGACUGAGACACGGCCCAGACUCCUACGGGAGGCAGCAGUAGGGAAUUUUCGGCAAUGGGGGAAACCCUGACCGAGCAACGCCGCGUGAGUGAUGACGGCCUUCGGGUUGUAAAGCUCUGUUGUAAGGGAAGAACGGUAGAUAGAGAAUAUCUAAAUGACGGUACCUGACCAGAAAGCCACGGCUAACUACGUG